rnacentral:rRNA from 1 species
CGAAACCGAUAGCGAACAAGUACCGUGAGGGAAAGUUGAAAAGUACUCUGAAUAGAGAGUUAAAUAGUACGUGAAACCGCUUAGGGGUUAAGCCCGAUGAACCCGAAUAUCUGAUGUGAGAAAUUCAAUACAAUUCAAAUUCAUAUUUUUAUAUUGGAUUUGUAUAGUAUGCACUUUUCUCAUAGUAAGACAUUGUAAUCCAUUGAUAUUAUAUCUCAAUUUCGGGAUGAUUUAACAUACGGACAAAAUGUUUAUGAUUAUUCUAUCAGUGAUAUGUUUACAUGUCAUAUGAAUAAAAUCGUUUUGUACCUGUUUAAAUAGUCGAUGGAUUUUUCAUUGAAAUCAUGCUUGCAAUUUAUUUUGCGUUUCGUAUCAUCAAUUUUUAAUUUUUGAUAGCUGAAAUGGCAUGUAUUCGAUUAACAAUGCGAUAGAUUUGGGAUACUUUCAGGACCCGUCUUGA